rnacentral:tRNA from 1 species
GGGGUUGUAGCUCAGUGGUAGAGUGCUUGCCUUGAUUGCAUGAGGUACUGGGUUUGAUCCUCAGCACCA